rnacentral:rRNA from 1 species
CAGCAGCCACGGGAAUACGAAGGGGGCUAGCGUUGCUCGGAAUCACUGGGCGUAAAGGGUGCGUAGGCGGGUCUUUAAGUCAGGGGUGAAAUCCUGGAGCUCAACUCCAGAACUGCCUUUGAUACUGAAGAUCUUGAGUUCGGGAGAGGUGAGUGGAACUGCGAGUGUAGAGGUGAAAUUCGUAGAUAUUCGCAAGAACACCAGUGGCGAAGGCGGCUCACUGGCCCGAUACUGACGCUGAGGCACGAAAGCGUGGGGAGCAAACAGGAUUAGAUACCCCCGUAGUCCCUGUCUCUUAUAC